AACGAACGCUGGCGGCAGGCUUAACACAUGCAAGUCGAGCGCCCCGAAAGGGGUGCGGCAGACGGGUGAGUAACGCGUGGGGAUCUGCCUAGUGUUACGGAACAACACGGGGAAACUCGUGCUAAUACCGUAUAAGUCCUUCGGGAGGACGAUUUAUCGCCAUCAGAUGAAGCCGGGUCUGACUAGCUAGUUGGUGAGGUAACGUCUCACCAAGGCGACGAUCAGUAGCUGGUCUGAGAGGAUGAUCAGCCACACUGGGACUGAGACACGGCCCAGACUACUACGGGAGGCAGCAGUGGAGAAUAUUGGACAAUGGGCGCAAGCCUGAUCCAGCCAUGCCGCGUGAGUGAUGAAGGCCUUAGGGUUGUAAAGCUCUUUCGCUAAGGAAGAUAAUGACGGUACCCAGAGAAGAAGCCCCGGCUAACUUCGUGCCAGCAGCCGCGGUAA
rnacentral:rRNA from 1 species